UUUAUCGGAGAGUUUGAUCCUGGCUCAGGACGAACGCUGGCGGCGUGCCUAAUACAUGCAAGUCGAGCGGACAGAUGGGAGCUUGCUCCCUGAUGUUAGCGGCGGACGGGUGAGUAACACGUGGGUA
rnacentral:rRNA from 14 species